rnacentral:lncRNA from 1 species
ACACUAGCUGUCUGUGUCAAGGCCACGCAGAAAUCUAUUGGAAAUCGCUGUGGAAACAAACGCAAAUGAAAAGCCGCAAAGAGCAAAGGCUGCUCACUGGCCCGUCUCCUCUCAUGACUGCUGCUCUGGGAACCACCUCUCUGCUCUCCAUCGCUACCACUCUAGCCUGUGGCCUGCUCCUGGUUGAAGAAGCCAUCAAUGAAAAUGAAUACCACUCUGGAAAUCUUGGGUGGUCUGACCUGAUAUUUUCGCAUAGUGGCCACAGAUAUUUUAGGCCCCCAAGAGGGCCCGUUGAUGUCUCAAGACCAGACAUAAAACUUUUGGUGCUCAAGUCACUCAGAAUGAGAGUCCUGCUUUCCCUCAGCACUCUUGCCCUUUGAGGGUGGGGCCAAAUGUUUUCUUCCUUUCUUACUGAGGACUUUUGAUCCUGGUUUUUGAUAUUUGUCAUUCCCAGGGGGAAUUUUGUACCCUGUGUCUUGGUAAAGUGUAAGACCACUGU